rnacentral:Y_RNA from 1 species
GGUUGGUGUGAAGGUAGUGGGUUAUCAGAACUUACUAACAUUAGUGUCACUAAAGUUGGUAUACAACCCCCCACUGCUAAAUUUGGCUGGCUUAAA